CUUUCCUAAAAUACCAGAAAUCGCAAGCUUGUCAAAUUGUGAUUAAUGAGGAUUUACUGGAUAUCAACAUAUGAGUCUUCGAUCACCAAGAAAGCAAAGUGUAUUCCAUCUGCAUGACAGUUUAGGCUGUGAAUACCAAGAAUAUAAUGUUACGACCUAAGAAAUCUGAGCAACAUGGAUGCAGCUGGAGGCUAUUAUCCUAAGUGAAUUAAUGCAGGAACAGAAAACCAAAUACCACAUGUUCUCACAUAAAAGUGGGCACUAAACAUUGAGUACACUUGGAUACAAAGAAGGCAGCAAGAGACA